UACGAAGGGGGCUAGCGUUGCUCGGAAUCACUGGGCGUAAAGGGUGCGUAGGCGGGUCUUUAAGUCAGGGGGGAAAUCCUGGAGCUCAACUCCAGAACUGCCUUUGAUACUGAAGAUCUUGAGUUCGGGAGAGGUGAGUGGAACUGCGAGUGUAGAGGUGAAAUUCGUAGAUAUUCGCAAGAACACCAGUGGCGAAGGCGGCUCACUGGCCCGAUACUGACGCUGAGACACGAAAGCGUGGGGAGCAAACAGG
rnacentral:rRNA from 1 species